ensembl:snRNA U6 U6 spliceosomal RNA
UUGAUCAGAAUAGCUAAAUGAUCAAAUAUACUAAAAUUGAAAGGAUACAGAGAAGAUUAGCAUGGUUUCUGCGCAAGGAUGGCAUGCAAAUUCAUGAAGCAUUCCACAUUAAA